rnacentral:lncRNA from 1 species
UAAAAACAUGACUUAAAAUGAACUCCUUUUUGAUCAAUGCAUUGCAGAAAGCAAGUGUGGGGGAAGUGAUUCUUGUGUGUGUGUGUGCCAAAGUCCUUAAUAAGGCACGUGUAGAAAAGAAAAAAAAAAGAGUGAAAAGAAAGAAAAAAAGUUUGUUAAAAAAGGGUCCAAAACAUUGAAUUCGGCCCUAAUUGUUGCAUGAAUCUUCC